rnacentral:rRNA from 1 species
CCUACGGGAGGCAGCAGUGAGGAAUAUUGGUCAAUGGGCUUACGCCUGAACCAGCCAAGUCGCGUGAGGGAAGACUGCCCUAUGGGUUGUAAACCUCUUUUGUCAGGGAGCAAUUGGCGCUACGUGUAGCGUUAUCGAGAGUACCUGAGGAAAAAGCAUCGGCUAACUCCGUGCCAGCAGCCGCGGUAAUACGGAGGAUGCGAGCGUUAUCCGGAUUUAUUGGGUUUAAAGGGUGCGUAGGCGGAAUGCCAAGUCAGCGGUAAAAUCGCGGGGCUCAACCUCGCUCCGCCGUUGAAACUGGCGUUCUUGAGUGGGCGAGAAGUAUGCGGAAUGCGUGGUGUAGCGGUGAAAUGCAUAGAUAUCACGCAGAACCCCGAUUGCGAAGGCAGCCUGCCAAGCCAUGACUGACGCUGAUGCACGAAAGCGUGGGGAUCAAACAGGAUUAGAUACCCCAGUAGUC